UGACUGGGGCGGUCUCCUCCCAAAGCGUAACGGAGGAGCACGAAGGUUAGCUAAUCCUGGUCGGACAUCAGGAGGUUAGUGCAAUGGCAUAAGCUAGCUUGACUGCGAGCGUGACGGCGCGAGCAGGUGCGAAAGCAGGUCAUAGUGAUCCGGUGGUUCUGAAUGGAAGGGCCAUCGCUCAACGGAUAAAAGGUACUCCGGGGAUAACAGGCUGAUACCGCCCAAGAGUUCAUAUCGACGGCGGUGUUUGGCACCUCGAUGUCGGCUCAUCACAUCCUGGGGCUGAAGUAGGUCCCAAGGGUAUGGCUGUUCGCCAUUUAAAGUGGUACGCGAGCUGGGUUUAGAACGUCGUGAGACAGUUCGGUCCCUAUCUGCCGUGGGCGCUGGAGAAUUGAGGGGGGCUGCUCCUAGUACGAGAGGACCGGAGUGGACGCAUCACUGGUGUUCGGGUUGUCAUGCCAAUGGCACUGCCCGGUAGCUAAAUGCGGAAGAGAUAAGUGCUGAAAGCAUCUAAGCACGAAACUUGCCCCGAGAUGAGUUCUCCCUGAGACUUUAAGUCUCCUGAAGGAACGUUAAAGACGAUGACGUUGAUAGGCCGGGUGUGUAAGCGCAGCGAUGCGUUGAGCUAACCGGUACUAAUGAACCGUGAGGCUUAACCUU
rnacentral:rRNA from 1 species